UGCUCGAGUGGCGAACGGGUGAGUAACACGUGAGUAACCUGCCCUUGACUUUGGGAUAACUUCAGGAAACUGGGGCUAAUACCGGAUAGGAGCUCCUGCUGCAUGGUGGGGGUUGGAAAGUUUCGGCGGUUGGGGAUGGACUCGCGGCUUAUCAGCUUGUUGGUGGGGUAGUGGCUUACCAAGGCUUUGACGGGUAGCCGGCCUGAGAGGGUGACCGGCCACAUCGGGACUGAGAUACGGCCCAG
rnacentral:rRNA from 1 species